rnacentral:tRNA from 1 species
UCCCUGGUGGCUCAGAGGUUAAAGCGUCUGCCUCCAAUGCAGGAGACCCGGGUUCGAUCCCUGAGUCAGGAA